rnacentral:lncRNA from 13 species
UAACUUAUAAAUGAAUGAUAUAUACCAAUUGAUUAUUGAAGUAUAUAACUUAUAAAUUAAUUAUAUAUACCAAUUGAUUAUUAAAGUAUAUAACUUAUAAAUUAGUGAUAUAUACCAAUUGAUUAUUGAAGAAUAUAACUUAUAAAUGAAUGAUAUAUACCAAUUGAUUAUUAAAGUAUAUAACUUAUAAAUGCCUAUUGAGCUUAGUUCAACAGUCAAACCGCAUCAGAACCAAAAUAUAUAAGAUUGUUCUAUUCUAAUAUUUGUAAACAUUGUAAAUUUAAACAAACACUGUAUAGCUUCAAAACGCUUAAAACUAUCAUUUUGAUAUCUUGGAUGGUUAGUCCUUGCAUCCAUAGCUCUGUCUAUCAAUUUGAGAGUGGUUACAUUUCACUAGGCCCAUCCCUCAGCUUUUUAACAAAACAAAAGCAGGGAAAUGUAUUUAUUAUGGUUUCAAAUGCGGAUUGCCCCUUUAAAGAGACAGACUAUGAUGGGCAAAGGACAGCAGUGACAUGUACACUUGACUACACUGGUUUGUCAAUACCAGCAAUCAACUGUGUCAGACACAUUAAGAGUGUGUGUGUGUGUGUGUAUCUGGUAGUAUUGACACUGCUACACACACUGUUAAUAAAUGAUAGAAAUUUCAUUUUUGUCUUACAAAACUUACAAUAUAGCAAACCACCAUACAAUUAUGUGACGGACAAAUGACAGAAUACACAAGAUAGACAAACUAACCACCUCAUUGCUCAGAUGAUUGAUUACAAGCUGAUUGAAAAUAAGAAAUAAAACAGCUUUUGUGUUGGACAAUGACAAAUGGACCAGUUUGAUGAAAACCAUUUCAAUAUUCCACAAAAGACGAUUGGAAGGAUUUUUCAUGUUCAUGAAUGACAACAUUAUUGUAUGAAAAAAAUCAACAAGAGGACAAUCAGAAACAGUUUUUACAACUAAAAAUCAUAUUUUAAAAUCUUACAAAGCACGGUAGAGUGAACAUGUGUAGCCAUGAGAAAAAUAUGAGCAGAGCUCUCUAACAAAAGCCACUGCACAGACAGCUCAACACACACACACACACACACCUCUAAAGAGAGACAAGUUACCUCUUUUGGAAACGGUUUCCUGACCAGGUGAAAUACUGCUUCACUCUCUCUCUCUCUCUGUCCUCCUAGCUCUGACUCGUUCCACACACACACACACACACACACACACAGCUCCUCCAUCUGCCACCGCCCCCUUGCCUUCUCCAUGCCCACCUCAUGAAUUAUUAAUUAGCCCCAGGGCAAACACGCUCCACUGCUUGAACGGACACACACACGCACCCACGCAGGCUCGCUCACAGACAAAUACACACCUACAGCUUACAAACACACACACACACACACAGCCAAACCCAGCCAAAGACACACAAAUGCAUCUACACACAAGCACGCUCAACCACACACACAUACAUACAUGCAUACAUACAUGACCACAUAAAAGCCUAAACACACGUCAUCGUGAAAACAUGCAGAGCAUACUCAUACUCCU